GUACCCCAUAUCCCCSUAGAGGAGCCUGUCCUAUAAUCGAUAACCCCCGUUUAACCUCACCAUUUUUUGCCAGUCAGCCUGUAUACCUCCGUCGUCAGCUUACCACGUGAGCGUCAGUGAGCCUAAUGUUUCUCCACUACACGUCAGGUCAAGGUGCAACAUAUAAAAUGGGAAGAGAUGGGCUACACUUUCUACCAUAGAAUAAACGAAAGACUAAAUGAAACCUAGUCAGAAGGCGGAUUUAGCAGUAAAAUGAAACUAGAGCGUUCACUUAAAUGCGGCACUGGGGUGUGUACA
rnacentral:rRNA from 1 species